GACAAUCGACAUCAUGCAUUUAUUUGCCUAUGUUUUGUAGGUAUAGGCUUAGCUUAACAGUUUAAACUGCAAAAAAAAAAAUUGUAACGUUGGUGCGUUUGACUCGUACACAUGCAUGUGCAU